UACGAAGGGGGCUAGCGUUGCUCGGAAUCACUGGGCGUAAAGGGUGCGUAGGCGGGUUCUUAAGUCAGAGGUGAAAUCCUGGAGCUCAACUCCAGAACUGCCUUUGAUACUGAGAGUCUUGAGUUCGGGAGAGGUGAGUGGAACUGCGAGUGUAGAGGUGAAAUUCGUAGAUAUUCGCAAGAACACCAGUGGCGAAGGCGGCUCACUGGACUGGUAUUGACGCUGAGGUGCGAAAGCGUGGGGAGCAAACAGG
rnacentral:rRNA from 1 species